rnacentral:piRNA from 1 species
AAGGCUUAGGUAGUCUGGUCUUGAGGAA